rnacentral:piRNA from 1 species
UAUCCGUGAUGGUUCGGUGCUGCUCAAC